rnacentral:tRNA from 1 species
UGUUCUGUGGCUUAAUUGGUUAAAGCACCGGACUAGUAAUAUGGAGUCAUGGGUUCGAAUCCCAACAAAACAA